rfam:Pteropus alecto contig71690, whole genome shotgun sequence.
UUGCCCAUCGGGGCCUCGGAUACCUGCUUUAAAUUUUU